AGCAAAGAGUUAGAGAUCAGGGUAACAAAUGUGCAAACUUGAUAAAAUACAUAACCAUACUAUGACUAUAAAUAUCACGGUUAUUUACAAUAAAUUUACCACUCAGUUAUCUGCCUGACUUGCAAGUACUCGCAUCAUUAGUUCAUACCUAGAAAAAAAAACAAAAAUGACCAAAUUUACUUUGUUGUUAUCAAUUAUUUUAUUUAUUGGCUUCUAUGCUAGUGCAGUUGAAGCAAAUUGCGAAGGGCAUUGGUGUCAUUCUGCGGCUGGCUAUAGUUGCGGUUGUGCCGAUUACGUUUGUAGUUCAUCCAUUGCUCAAGGCACUUGCAUGAAAUACGAGCCAUAUCAUCCACUUCCGUAGGGUUAAAUAAAAUAAAAUAUUGUUGAAAAAUCCGAAAGUUUAAACCUGCAACACUCAUGUUUUAUGUUGAAUAAUUAAUUUACAAAUAUUAACUGUCAAGCUAUGUACUUUCCCCGAUUAAAGAAGAUGAUUUGAAAUGAUUUCCAAUGUUAAAUCUCCAUAAGAGAAAUUAUUUAAAAAUUAUUUGAGAUAUUUUAUCUAAUUCGAGUUCAAAUCAUUUUAAGUCAUUUCAAAUCAGCUUUGUUAAUCAGAAUUAUAAGAAAGCUAAAAUAAAUGCUACCAGUUUAGUAAAAAAAAAAA